GGUGGCAUGGCUCAGGAGGUAGAGCAGGUGGUUUAGGAAUCAGACGGUUCCUGGUUCGAUCCCCGGUUCCUCCA